ACCGUGUCUGUAAAGGAGCUGUUCCCUUUACAGUGGACAGAGUGGAUAGAGACUGGACAGGAAAGUCCAGCAAUUCGGAAACACCUUCUGUUUAGAGGCAACUCCCGAAGUCCUGGCCACUGGUACAGAUGAGAAGAUACAGGUCUCAUGAGAGUGUGGUGGUCUUUGGAAAGAAGUCACUAUGCCCAGCUUGCACUUGAAGAGAGAGGACAAAGUACAUUUUUAAAAGAAGAAAAAUCCAGAAUAAU